CCUGCCCCUAGAUGCAUUACAGAUGUGGCUGUUGUGUCACAUGUGCAUCAUCAGUAGGUAGCAGAGAGAGGCUAUGUCCAUGUUCAGUGUUGACCUAUGAACAUCUGCCUGCUCCUGAGAAAACUGC
ensembl:snoRNA Gm25519 predicted gene, 25519